rnacentral:rRNA from 1 species
UACGGAGGGUGCAAGCGUUAUCCGGAUUCACUGGGUUUAAAGGGUGCGUAGGUGGGCUUGUAAGUCAGCGGUGAAAUCUCCGGGCUUAACCCGGAAACUGCCAUUGAUACUAUAGGUCUUGAAUUAUCUGGAGGUGAGCGGAAUAUGUCAUGUAGCGGUGAAAUGCUUAGAUAUGACAUAGAACACCAAUUGCGAAGGCAGCUCACUACGGAUCGAUUGACACUGAGGCACGAAAGCGUGGGGAGCAAAAGGG